CCUACGGGAGGCAGCAGUGGUGAAUAUUGCACAAUGGGGGAAACCCUGAUGCAGCGACGCCGCAUGAGUGAAUAAGUAUUUCGGUAUUUAAAGCUCUAUCAGCAUGGGAGAAAAUGACGGUACCUGAUUAAGAAGCCCCAGCUAACUACUUGCCAGAAGCCGCGGUAACACGGAGGGGGCAAGCGGGAUCCGGAUUUACUGGGUGUAAAGGGACCGUAGACGGCAGCACAAGUCUGGAGUGAAAGGCCGGGGCUUAACCCCGGAACUGCUUUGGAAACUGUGCAGCUAGAGUGCAGGAGAGGUAAGUGGAAUUCCUAGUGUAGCGGGGAAAUGCGUAGAUAUUAGGAGGAACACCAGUGGCGAAGGCGGCUUACUGGACUGUAACUGACGUUGAGGCUCGAAAGCGUGGGGAGCAAACAGGAUUAGAUACCCUGGUAGUC
rnacentral:rRNA from 1 species